rnacentral:rRNA from 1 species
UCGACCUACGGGAGGCAGCAGUGGGGAAUAUUGGGCAAUGGGCGCAAGCCUGACCCAGCAACGCCGCGUGAGGGAAGAAGGCUUUCGGGUUGUAAACUUCUUUUCUCAGGGACGAAGCAAGUGACGGUACCUGAGGAAUAAGCCACGGCUAACUACGUGCCAGCAGCCGCGGUAAUACGUAGGUGGCAGGCGUUAUCCGGAUUUACUGGGUGUAAAGGGCGUGUAGGCGGGAAAGCAAGUCAGAUGUGAAAACCACGGG